AGCAUUUCAGCCUUCACACAGGAGCGCACAGGCGUGCGGGCGUCCGCGGGAGCGCACUGACUGCUGAGGGAGGGAUGGACGCCUCUGCACCGCGCCAGAGGACCGCUGGGGUUUGUUGGGUGGGAGAGGUAGAGGCUGAGGGCGUGAGGAGGUGGUGGAGGAGGAGGACGGUAGAGUCAGUUUCGAUUUAAUUCCUCAACCGGCUGCUUUUACGCAGGGUGAGGUACAGUAGUCCGCCGCCUGGCAGUAUAAUCCGCUUGCCGGGAGGAGCAGGGAAAGCCCUCUCCAGACUGAGGCAGAGAGGGAGGGAGAGGUUCAAGUCGGACAGGGACAGAGAGAGUUGACAGGAGUGCUCGGUCCGGCUGCUGAUACACACUCUGAGGACCAGGCAAGCUGUUUGAAUCCCUCUGCACAUCAUGAGUGGACCGACAAACGUUCAGUACCAGUCAGGUCUUUAUGGCGGAAACAACAACAGCAGCUCCCCUCUCUCCAGCCGUGGAAAUUCGCCCAUCAUUUGUGAGCGCUGUGGGGAAGUGUGUCGCGGGGAGGUGGUGCGCGUCAAAAACACUCAUUUCCAUGUUCACUGCUUCACCUGCCAAGUAUGUGGCUGUGAUCUGGUGCACUCGGGUUUCUUCCACCACUCAGGUGAGUAUAUCUGUACAGAGGACUACCAGCGGCUCUACGGGACCCAGUGUGACAGCUGUGACCAGUACAUCACUGGGGAGGUGGUAUCUGCCUUGGGGAGGACAUACCAUCCACAUUGCUUCGUCUGCAGCAUCUGCAGGGGUCCGUUCCCAAUUGGAGACAGGGUGACCUUCUGUGGGAAGAAGUGUGUGUGUCAGCAGUGUUCACACACUCUGAAAAGCGACAAGCCCGUCAAGGUCCACGGGCCAAGCUACUGCGCAGGCUGCGGCGAGGAGAUCAAACAGGGUCAGUCUCUGCUCGCUCUGGAGAGACAGUGGCACGUCAGUUGCUUUAAAUGCAGAACGUGCGGCUGUGCGCUCACUGGAGAGUACAUCAGCAAGGAUGGGAUUCCUUACUGCGAGACUGACUACCACACUCAGUUUGGGAUCAGGUGUGACAGCUGUAACAGGUACAUCAGCGGCAGAGUACUUGAGGCUGGUGGGAAGCGCUACCACCCCAGCUGUGCCAGGUGUGCUCGCUGUCACAUGAUGUUCCUGGAAGGAGAGGAAAUGUACCUCACAGGUUCAGAGGUUUGGCACCCCAUGUGUAAAGAAGCAGCUCGGCUGGAGAGAAAACUGAGGCUGAGACGGACCUCUGAGACGGCGUCCAUUUCUCCUCCAGGCUCCUCUCCUCUCCUCGGCUCCCCUCACCGGCUCAUCUGUUCUAAAGCUGACGGUGAUUUGGACUAUAAGCAGCUGGCGGCUCUGCCCCGGGUCAAAGCCAUAUACGACAUCCAGAGGCCUGACAUCAUCCCUUAUCAGGCCGACCAUGCACACACACACCUCUCAGAUGACACUCUGGAGCGAUACAGCUGUGGACAGGAUCUCUUGGACGGUGUGGAGCUUAGAACGAGGCGUUCCUCCAGCUCUGCCUUCACUGACUCUCCUGCACACAGUCGCCACGGAGGCUCCCCACUGCAUUAUUAUCUCCCUGGCAGUGAGAGUGGCAGGAGUUCACCCUAUUACAGUCAGCCAGAGCCCAGGUGUGCCACACCCACCACCACCGCCACCUUCCAAGCCCCCAAGCAUUUCCAUGUGCCAGCUUCUGAGGAAACCAACAUCUACAGGAAACCCCCCAUCUAUAAAAGACAAGACAUAUCUGCCUCUCCGACAGUCAAUAAGAGUAAGACCAAUGAGAACCUUCUCAAUUCAAGUCGCCUUUCCACCUCCAACUGCAACAGCAUUUAUCACCCAGAUUCAAACUACUACCCAUAUACAGGCUCUCCUAAAGUCUCCAGGGUGAGGAGGUUUUCAUCCGGAGGAGAGGAGGAUGGAUGGAAUCACAAUAUAAACAAGGGAAUUGGCAGGAUGAUCCUGAAGGAGGAGAUGAAGGCGCGGUCAGGUUGUCACGACAAUGACCAGUGGGGGAGCAGACGCAGUUCCCGCUGUAGCAGCAAGGAGGCGCUAAACAAUCUGGGAUAUGGCUCUCUCAAUGGCUCUCCCAGGUCCGUCUACAGCGCAGACAGCGACUCAUACAUUGCCAAAUCGUCCUCGUUGCCAGGCUACGGCAGAAAUGGACUAAACAGGCCUGGGAGUGCGAGUGCAGAUUAUUACCAGUAUGACAGCAGCAAUGCAGUUAAUUGGCAGAUCAGAGAGUACAAGGUAAGAUGCUCUUGCCAAAGCUAGACAACUGUUACUGAGCCAAGAGUGGAAAGUCUGGAUCAAUAGAUAACAGAUAAGGAUGAUGUGUUGCCCUUUUAAAGUUCAUAUUGAAUGGUGAAUUCAUCUCACUCAGUGACACCCACAUGUGAAGAUGACUGACUCAUUUUAUUGACAGCAAAGUAAAAAAAAACAUUUACAGGAUUCUGAAAACAAGUUCAGCAGCUUCAUUGGAAUUUUGUGGAAAUGGUAGUUACACUACAUCUCAUAUUAUUAUUCUUCCUUUAAGAAUAAUGGGAAUGGGUUGUAAGGAAUGCUUGAACACACUUCUUUUAUCAGUCCAACAACUGAUUUACAAACCAAAAUAUAGAUUCAAACAUUCAAGGGUCAGCAGACUUUAAAUUUGUCAAACAUUAAAUGUAAUUUUUUUGUCAUUUUGUGAGUGAUUGGAAACAGUUGGGAACAAUUCUUCAUCACUUUGAGGUCGAAACUCUGAAAAAAUAAACACUGAUUUUUCUCCUCUGUUAAUUAAGAAGAAAAACAAGUGCCGUGUCAGCACAAAAAUCGGAUAUUUCCUAAUCUUUCCCUCAGUGGGAGACUUAUAUCUGCAUGAAUAAUUACACUAAACCAAACAGAGACUUAAUCAAUUUUUCUAAUUUAUUUUAACCAAUAGCAGCAUUGUUGUCGGUGCUGCUCUCGGCCACUAGAGGGUGACAGAGGUAAUGAAACUCAGUCUGCCUGUUUUUAUGGUGCUGAAACAUUUAAUACAAGUUGAUUGGGACUUUUUUAGUGGUGCAUGUGAAUCAUGUUGUGAAUAAACUUCCUUGGUAAACAAUUUAUGACAUGCACAAAUCAAUAAUGACAUCACAAGUGAAAGUCCCUCAAAGGAGCAUCUGAUUGCAAGUAAAUUUACAGUUUCAGUGUUCAGGGAAACAUGCUUAGUCUUUGAAAUGUAAUUCAUAUGUUGGCCAAAGCCUCAAUGGUGCAUUUUGUUGCAGGAAGUUGAUUAUAUUUAUGUCUCUGUGUGUAUUAGAUCUACCCAUAUGAAGCCCUAAUAGUAUCAGUCAGAGGACAGCAACGUCUUCCAAGUGAUGUGGACCGAGCCAGACUGGAGCGUCACCUCUCACCAGAGGAGUUCCACAGAGUCUUUGGCAUGUCCAUGUCUGCCUUUGAUCAUCUCGCUCAGUGGAAGAAGAACGAACUGAAGAAACAGGUCCGACUCUUCUGAGAAAAUGAAGCAACAACCAUCUAACCCAAUGCAGGUCCGCCGCCAACAGUGUGCUCUGAAACGUAGCCUCCACAGAGGCCUGCUAACUCUGACUGAUUCUGUAUCUCAGUGGAAGAGGAACUGGCAGGAAUGAAACUCUUUCCUCCUGUUAGGUGGCAAAGCAGAGUUGUUGGCCUCCUGAUCUUUUGUGUACUUGGACUUGUUAAGCGUUAUGUAUGAAGCCAUCCAAAAAAACCUGGAAGGAGAGGAAGGAGAACUGGAAGGAGAUCAUGAAGACUUUGAGAGGCAGCAGAUGAGCCACGUCCGGGCUACAACAGACAGAAAGCUAAUCAGUUGAGGGAGUUGGCUGCUUCCCUGUCUCCUACCAGCAGAUGGCAGUGUGGUAACAAGAGCACCAGGGUGGCAGUCAGAUACAUGACCAGGACAGGUGGACUGUAAGCUAAAGUACUGAGGGUCAGCCACACUGCGCCAAACUUGAAUUCAUACUGAAAAUUAAGGAGACAGUUUGGGAAGUAAAUUGGCUGCCUGGAAGACAGACUGGCAUAUUGUUGGAGGUAAAAUGGAUCCAGUUUUAAUCACACAGACACUAUCAUCAUCUGAAACUUAUAAACUGAUGAGAAUAGUGUGACUCUCAUUAACAUUAGGGUUACUAAACAUGACACACACUUUUUUUUAAUAUUGUGCAAAUACUGAAACCCAAAGUUUCUUUUUAUAAUACUGGCAUGUAAUUAUUAUUUUGAUGUCAGGUUUUCUGAAGCCAUAUCAGUGUUUAGAGUUAUGACACGAGCAGACUGUACAGGUCACUGAAGUGGUUUUUGAGAUAUGAUGUGAUCGUAAGGUUUAUUGUGGAUGGACUGUGUCAUAGAAAUCAGGUUUUAGAACUACACACACUUCAAAAUAAGAUCUCUGUGUUUUGCUUUUUUUUAUUUUAAGAAAUCCACAUUUUUGUCAAUUCAUACUUGCAGCUGAACUCGUGAGUCAGCUCAGAAUUUUAGCUGCUGGAUUACAAUUAAACCACACUGAGUCAUGUUCAUGUGUGUGUGAUUACAGCAGAUGACGAACGGAGGUUUUUGUGGAUGAUUAUUCAGACCCUCUGAGUAAAGAGAAAAAACAAUGCUCAAAUGAAGGAAGGAAAUAUGAAGAGGUGAGGGAAUGAAGGAUGGAGAAAAGGAGGAAGUAACAUGAAGGAAUGUGUGAUGAGGUAACAUACUGUGGAAAGAUGCAAAAAGUAAAGAAGCAGUGACAAAGAAAGUUUUACCAAGAGGCUGCAAGUGUCACAUAAGUAAAUUGUAAAGAAAGGAUUUGAGUUUGAGAUUAAUAAGGUGUGAGCUGAAACUAGUUUGAUGGGAAGAGAAGGUGUAGGAUAGUUUGAACUGAAAAGAUUAGAUAAUGCUCUUUGUUACAGGAACUGAAGGUGUGUGUGAAUAUGUGUGUGGGGUUAUGGAUCUUCAACGAUACAGCAAAGCACAUUUACCACAUUAGAUGUGUUUAACUUAUUCUUUAUUUAUCGGAGUACCAUUUUUAAUUUGCAAAGUCUUGUCUGUUAAUACAACUUUGGAAUAAAUGA